rnacentral:rRNA from 1 species
CCCUACGGGACGCAGCAGUGGGGAAUUUUGGACAAUGGGCGCAAGCCUGAUCCAGCAAUGCCGCGUGCAGGAAGAAGGCCUUCGGGUUGUAAACUGCUUUUGUACGGAACGAAAAGGCUCUGGUUAAUACCUGGGGCUCAUGACGGUACCGUAAGAAUAAGCACCGGCUAACUACGUGCCAGCAGCCGCGGUAAUACGUAGGGUGCAAGCGUUAAUCGGAAUUACUGGGCGUAAAGCGUGCGCAGGCGGUUUUGUAAGACAGACGUGAAAUCCCCGGGCUCAACCUGGGAAUGGCGUUUGUGACUGCAAAGCUGGAGUGCGGCAGAGGGGGAUGGAAUUCCGCGUGUAGCAGUGAAAUGCGUAGAUAUGCGGAGGAACACCGAUGGCGAAGGCAAUCCCCUGGGCCUGCACUGACGCUCAUGCACGAAAGCGUGGGGAGCAAACAGGAUUAGAUACCCUGGUAGU